CAGAAGAAGAGUUGGAGUCAGGAGUUGCCCUAAUCCUCCUUUUACCUGUUAAAAAGAAACGUAGAAGAUGUGGAACAAGAGGAAGGAAAAAGUUUGACAGAGCAGCAGUAAGGUUGUUCCUGCAAAACGAGAGUCAAACGAGACAAAACCACGGCGCUGGAGGCUCCCGUCUCUGAUUCACGUUGUCGUCUUUCAUUGCUCUUUGUGUGGGAGAGAGCGCUGCGACAGAGAGCACACCCAGAGUUUGACAGUUUCAAAGAAAAGAUCCACCCUCGGCUUGUCAGCCGCUGUUUGAUCUCAUCAGUCGCUGAUGUUCGGUUUGAUGGGAAAGUGUUCUGGUGGAGCCAAGUUUUGUGUUUUUGUUAUUCCAGCAGUGAUUGUUGGAAGUGUUGUCUAUAUUUAACCAGUCAUGUAGGAAGAGAGGCAGCUAAAAAAUAAAUGUAACAGCUGUUUGUGUGUCUAUAUUCUGCUUUUCCACUUAGAUGAAACUUACAUUUUAUAUACUAAGAACUCAGCUUAAAGGGUUCUAAUGUAAUUUUUUUUGAAAAUGUGUUUUGUGGUCAG